ACAGUCACACAUUAGAUACCCCGGUAGUCCCAGCCGUAAACUAUGCGCGUUAGGUGUAUCGGUGACCACGAGUUACCGAGGUGCCGAAGGGAAACCGUGAAACGUGCCGCCUGGGAAGUACGGUCGCAAGGCUGAAACUUAAAGGAAUUGGCGGGGAGCACCACAACGGGUGGAGCCUGCGGUUUAAUUGGACUCAACGCCGGGAAGCUCACCGGAUAAGACAGCGGAAUGAUUGCCGGGCUGAAGACUCUGCAUGACUAGCUG
rnacentral:rRNA from 1 species